rnacentral:rRNA from 1 species
AUGGACGCCGUGGGCGAGCUUGCUGCUGCGGGGAUGCACCACCACCACCACCACCACCACAGGUGCAAGGUGUGCGGCAAGGGCUUCUCGUGCGGCCGCUCGCUAGGCGGCCACAUGCGCUCCCACAUCUCGCUCGGCGAGGCGCUGCCGGAGGCCGACGACGAGCUGAUGAGGCGCUCCUCCGCCAACGGCGGCCGGACCAGCGCCAAUGGCGCCGUCGGCUACGGGCUCAGGGAGAACCCCAAGAAGACGCGCCGGCUGUCCGACUUCGCCGACGAGGAGGAGGAUCAGGGCGGUGACGGGGGCGAGCAGAGGGCCUGCCGGGAGUGCGGCAAGCUGUUCUCGUCGUGGCGAUCGCUGUUCGGCCACAUGAAGAGCCAUGCGCCCGGCGCCGCCAGGGAUCACGAUGAGUACGACGAGGCUGACGACGACGUGGACCUGCUGGGAGAGGAGGAGUACUCCUUCGCCGCGGAGGCGGAGGCGGAGGCCGAGAAGGAGGAGGAGGAAGAGGAGAUGGAGGCGGCGCCGAUGGAACCGCUGGUGCCGGCGCCGGUGGCUGUGAUGGCUGCGCCGCCCAGGCGGAGGCGCAGGUCGAUGCGCGUGGCGGCGCCUGCCCCCGCGCCGCCGCCGCCGAUGCUGAGCGCGUUCGAGAAGGAGCAGGAGGACGUCGCGCUCUGCCUCCUGAUGCUCUCGCGCGACUCCACCGGCGGCAUGCGGGGCUCGCCGGCGCCGAAGCAGGCGCACCUCCCGAGGAACGGCUACGGCUACAAUUCCGACGACGACUCAGCUCUGUUCCAGUACGGCGACGCCAAGACCAAGAGCGUGGCCAAGAGCAAGAAGCGAAGGACCAGCCAUUACGCUCUCAACUCCGCCUCGCCGAAGCAACGGGGCGAGGCGGCGCCGCCACCGGCGAAGCGCACCCGCUACGAGUGCCCGGGGUGCGGCAGGGUGUUCAGCUCCUACCAGGCGCUGGGCGGCCACCGCGCGAGCCACAAGCGGAUCAACACCAGCUGCAGCGCGCCCAAGGCCGCGCCCGCCGCCGCCCCCGCGCCGGAGCCGAGCGUCGACACCUACACCUCGUUCGGCACCCUGUCCCCGUCGGCCUCGCCGGACUCGGUGGCCAUCGGCAUUGGCGCCGGCAGCAACAAGAAGCCAGCUGCUGCCGAGGCGGAGAAGUUCGAGUGCCCGGUCUGCUUCAGGGUGUUCGGGUCGGGGCAGGCGUUGGGCGGGCACAAGCGGUCCCACAUAAUCGCCGACACUGCCUUCUCCUCCGACGGCGAGCUCUACGGCAGCGCGAGCGUGAGCGUGAACGAGGAGCAGGAGCAGGGGUACCCGGUGGCGGCGGCGGGGUCGCUGGACCUCAACUUCCCGCCGGCUCCAUCGGAGGAGGCCUGA